rfam:Lactobacillus oeni DSM 19972 NODE_92, whole genome shotgun sequence.
GGUCCUAUGGUGUAGGGGUCUAACACGCCUGCCUGUCACGCAGGAGAUCGUCGGUUCAAAUCCGUCUAGGACCG